rnacentral:rRNA from 1 species
CCUACGGGGGGCUGCAGUGGGGGAUAUUGCACAAUGGAGGAAACUCUGAUGCAGCAACGCCGCGUGAGGGAAGAAGGUCUUCGGAUUGUAAACCUCUGUCCUCAGGGACGAUAAUGACGGUACCUGAGGAGGAAGCUCCGGCUAACUACAUGCCAGCAGCGGCGGUAAUACGUAGGGAGCAAGCGGUGUCCGGAUUUACUGGGUGUAAAGGGUGCGUAUGCGGCCCUGCAAGUCAGGUGUGAAAACUAUGGGCUGAACUCAUAGAUUGCAAUUGAAACUGUGGGGCUUGAGUGAAUUAUAGGCAAGCGGAAUGCCCGGUGUAGCGGUGUAAUGCGUAGAGAACGGGAAGAACACCAGUGGCGAAGGCGGCUUGCUGGGCUUUAACUGACGCUGAGGCACGAAAGCGUGGGUAGCAAACAGGAUUAGAUACCCUAGUAGUC